UUACUAAAUAGCAUCAACACUGCAAAGAGACACCAUGAGGCGUGUGAUCGUGCUCUACUUUGCACUGAUGAUGAUUGCACUGGUGGGCCAUGUCUAUACUGAAAGUACGCAAGCUGUGCCCGUUGGUGUAGGCGGGAUGAAUUUGAACUCAUCAGUGAAUUCUGUGGUGGUAGAAAUAAAUGCAGUGUUUAAAAACAGUGGUGAUCCAUAAAUGAUGACCUUGUGGGGAUGAAGCACUAUUAUUUUAGCUUUUUCUUCCUUUAAAAGAAGGAAUUCAUAUUAAAAGUUUUU